UACGGAGGAUGCGAGCGUUAUCCGGAUUCAUUGGGUUUAAAGGGUGCGUAGGCGGCUUCAUAAGUCAGUGGUGAAAUCCUGCGGCUCAACCGUAGAACUGCCAUUGAUACUGUGAAGCUUGAAUACAAUUGAGGUAGGCGGAAUGAGUAGUGUAGCGGUGAAAUGCUUAGAUAUUACUCAGAACACCAAUUGCGAAGGCAGCUUACCAAACUGUAAUUGACGCUGAGGCACGAAAGCGUGGGGAUCGAACAGG
rnacentral:rRNA from 1 species